CCAGCCUCCAGGGGCCUUUCCUGUCUCAGACUAGACUGGCAUCACUGAUUCGAUGGACAUGAGUUUGAGCAAACUCCGGGAGACAAUGAAGGGCAGAGAAGCCUGGCGUGCUGCAGUCCAUGGGGUCGCACAGAGUGAGACCCGGCUGAGUGACUGAGCAGCAGCAGGACUGGGGGCCUGCCCCUGUGGUGGGGGCAGCUGAGGCCAACACUGCUUGCCCUGGCCUGGCUGUGUGCGAGUCAGGCUGGCAACAGCUGCAGUCCAGAAAGGAGCAGGGGCGGCAGGGAGACCCUUUCCUGGUUGGGAUGCUCGAGAAGGGCCUGGUGAGGAUGUGGCCUGGCCCUUAGGACGGUUCUGACCCAGCCGCCCUCUCCCCGGAGUAGGGGUUCCUAACUUGGGGCAGUGGGUGGGCUCCAAGGGAUUGCGUCGGUAGGAAUGACAGCAGAGCCCAGCUCCCAGUGAGGCGUCCGUGGGCACCUAGCGUGGUGCCUGACAGCCAGGAGGACCCUUACCUCCAUAUUUGCAAAAUCGUCUUGUUGGGCCACCUUGUUUACCCUCAAAGUGUGUGUGUGUGCUCAGCUGUCGGUCAUGUCCGACUCUUGGCGACCCCAUGGAUUGUAGCCUGCCAGGCUCCUCUGUCCCCGGAAUUUUUCAGAUCCACCCAGGCUGACCAGACCCAAAAUGCUGCUGCGCUUUGUCUUUCCUGCCAUCUGCCCACCACCGGGGAAAGUAUGAAAGCGUUGGUCGUUCAGUUGUGUCCGACUCUCUGCAACACCAUGGACUGUAGCCUGCCAGGCUCCUCUGUUCGUUUCCCAGCCACACAGCAUGCGGGAUCUCAGUUCCUUACCAGGAAUCGAACCGCGUUCUCUGCAGUGAAAGCACAGAGUUUUAACCACUGGGCCGCCGGGGAAGUCCCAGGAAAGUUGUGCUUGUUGACUGCCUUCAUCCAAUCCCCUUCCAACUCCCCACGUUUGGUUAACCCCAAAUCUGCUCUCCUCUCUGAGUCUGUUUAUGUGUUUGUUUUGGAAAUAUAACUGACCUCCAGCACUGUGUUGGUUCCUGUUACACAACGUGGCGCUUCCUUAUUUCCAGGCGUUUCAAAAUGAUCACCGCAGACAGUGUGGCUGCGCCAUGUCACCCGACACGGGCGUUACAUAAAUACUGACCGUGUUCCCCACACUGCGCGUCUCACCCCCAUGACUCAGCUAUUCUGCAAUGGAAAAUGUGUGUCUCUUCGUCUCCCUCACCUGUAUUUCUCUUCCCCAUCCCCAUCCCUGUUAUCUCAUUUUAAACUCAUCCAGCUUUUGUUUCCCCGCUGGAAGGUCGGCCCUAUGAAGGCAGGAAACUUGUCUGUCC
ensembl:lncRNA